AUGCUGGUCCGUCCGUCCAACAAAAGAUGUUUUAAGUUGGUCAAAAUUUGAUUGUAUCUAGAUGUGACUUACUGUAUAGAUGCAUUCAAAUUUAGUUAAAUUAAGGCAUCUUUUGUUGGGCAGAGGGAGCAGUAC
rnacentral:pre_miRNA from 1 species